GUUUGAUCAUACUAAUAAUUAUAAAAAAAAAGAGAAAAAUUGAACUCAAUGAGCUAGAGGGGAAGUGCUAGGACUACAUUUGAAUGUACAUUGGUGGGAACUACCAUUUGAACACUAAAUCAGUUCUGCUUCCUAACCUCAGAAGAAAAAGAAGAACAAAGUCAGUCACUAAAUCAGUUCUACUUCCUAACCUCAAUGACUGAUCACCCAUGACUACACACUUCGAUUUUCUUCUCUUUCACUAAGAUUAUAAAUCAUUCCCAGGACUUGGGGAUACAUACAACAGAGACUGUUCUACAAAUAAAAGAAUUGAAGCAAAGCUGCAGAUCAAAUCUACAUAUUUACAUCAUUUUCCUCCUUGAUCAAAUCCAAUGACUUUACUUCAGCCAUAAGCUGGCUAUACUCACGUUCAACUUCUUCUAGCUCAUUUCUGAGCUGUGUCGCCUUUUUAUUGAGUUCUUCUUUCCUCUUCUCAAAUUCCAGGCAUUGUGCUCGGAGUUUCUUGUUUUCCUGCAUCAAGUUUGCAGCUUCCUGAUAUUUUGACUGAGUUGCUGUAUUGAUAGGAUGGACCUGUGCUUCCAAAGUCUGUUCUGAAACAAUUGCAUUGGCCCGUGAUUGUCCAUGCUUCUUCACACUUUUAAGUUCCACCAAAUCAUCAGAAUGUUUCCUUUUUGUACAUAAUCCUAUCCCGACACGAUUAUUAUUUCAAAACAGAUAAGUAAGUUCAGUGAUGAUAGCAGUUAACUUUUAUCAAAACACGUGAAGUAAAUAUAAAAUUGACUUCUGUUUACAUAACUUCUUUCAACUGAAAGGUCCUACCAGUGGCAGGCAAUGCUUUUGCACUAGCAACAACAGGGGAACUUGGACUAAACUUGACAGGCUUUGUUUUACCAUUUGCCAUAACAAGAGGUGAGUCCUGUUUAGGCUGUGGUGCUGGAGGCUUUUUUUUGACCUGGUACCCAAUUAGUCCACAGUGAUAAUCCCAGUACUCCCAUGUCAUCUCCUUCAACCGACCUUCAAGUUUUUGCAAAAGGGAAGUUCUCUCAAAAUCUUGUUUGUUAUGUGUUGGUUCAAUAAAAUUUGCUUCCAGAACACCAACCACCCCUCUACCCCUACUGUCUGCAUAGCUCACAACUGGCCAAAAUGGCAAUAUUAAACGAUUCUUGUGGUAGACAUUGAAACCGUGAACACAGACAUGUGGAGCUUCUUUUAAAAACCCAAUUGUAGUUAUGACUUGACCCUCUACACAUCCACCGCAUUGAGGUCUAUACAAGAUGAAUUCUUGGAAUUUAAGAUCAUCAGCAAGAUUAUGAUGCUCAACCAGUCGUCCACGCAAUAUUAUUUGGAAAGUAGCAGGUAUCCGCAAGUACAAGAUGGACAAAUACACCCGAAGAGAGUAAUGUAACCGGUUAGCAAUGUGCUGUUCAUUAACCAUCCUCCAAGCAGGAAUUGUGUCAACUUUUUUUAUAUCCCCACAAAUACGAAUAUCCUCAGGAUCCGUAUCGAAGUCUAGCUCCACAAUCCCAUCAUCAUUCAACCAUAAAUUAUAGAUAAUAACUUUAGUGCCAUGUGACUCUAUGUCAUCAAAUUGCUUUAGAAGCUCAACUUCUGUUGAAUAUGGAGACCACUGCAAUAUCAUAGAAAGAUUAGACAUAAAAUGUUCUUUUCCACAACGAUGAGAAAUUUCCAAAUUCCCAGUCGUAGUGUUGAACUCAUAAUCCACCAUUGGCACUACUAUCCUGUCAAGUCCCGUUAGUGACAAAAAUGUAUAAGAGAGAAGACCAAUGCUUUGUGUCAAUGCCCUCCCAUGCAAGUGGCGACUGAAAACAAUAACAUCAGCCCCAAGUCUCAUAGUGCUAGUCUUAAAGCCAUUACCAUAUUGUCCAAUAGCAGAUUUGUUUUUUUUAUCUGAGAACCCAAAACUCAUGCAACGUCGCAUUGCUUCUGGAUCCAUUCCGCCACCAUUAUCAUGAAUUAACAGUGCUGGACUCCCAUCUCUUGGAUUUAAAGUUUUAUCUACAAUGACAAAAGUGGCUCCAUUGUGGAUCUCAUCAAUUGCAUUAUCAAGCAGUUCUGCUAUGGCACCAAAUGCCCAUUUGUGUGAUGUGGCAUUGGAAUGAAGAAACAUAGGGUGGACAUGGAGAUAGUUUUUGCCAUUUUGAAAUGUGACCUUGGAACCAAGACCAUCAUCAUAGUUCCCAGCUUUCCAAAAUUGACGACAAAGCGGAGCUGGACAUAUGGUUGACGCAAAAGAAAUGCCAGUGUCAUCUACUGGAGAUUGUCCUUGUUCCAAUACACUUGAGCUGCUUUGACCGGUACUUAAUGCAGUUGAGCUCCUAUUUUCUUCAAAUUCUUGUCUCCCAGAUUGGGUCAUGGAGUUUCUAUGCUCAUCCAAUCGGGCAUUUUGGGGAUUUUUCCCUUGCAACCCGCACCCAACAAAAUCUGACUCCAAUUUAAUGGCUUUCAUAUUCACCAAUAAUUCGAGAGGCAAGCUUCGUGGAGGACAGCAGCAGCACAACGAUUUCGAGAGCAGCAACACAAAAACUCACAGUCGCGCCAUGGCUACUAGAGCCAAAGGCCAGACAGAGGGCAGGGACUCGUUCACCACUCGGCUACGGAAUCGACACCCAAGCCAAAGAAUCCGAGACGCUGAGGGGAAGGGAAAUAACCGUGGAUCAGCAGUGACUUAGGUUUCUUCCGUGCACAAACGUCAAAAUGCUUGUUUGGUUGCGGAUUAAGAAAAAGAACCAACAAGAAAUUGUUCGGAUUGAAGGCAACUCCCCGAAGCCACCAU
rnacentral:misc_RNA from 1 species